UCUCUGCUCGGCGAUCAGCAUUUGGCUUUUUCCAUUUGUGGCAGAUUACUGUAACGCUAUUGUACAACAACUUCCUGCCUCUUUUGGCUCUGGUUCUAAAAAACUGCAAAAGCAGAGCUCGUGGCUUCAACUUUUUUCCCCUCGGCCUUGAACUACAGGAGCUCUAUAAGGAAAGAAAAGGAGGAAGGAGAUAUGUAAAGUGUUUCUGUUACUGAGGAACUAUUCUGAUUGCAUUUCUGCUUUAUAAACUGCUGAGAAUUAAAGAGGGCAAGAGGGGACUACAAGCCUAGCAGAGACAAUGAGAGAGAAAAAAGGAUUCGGACAGAAGAAGAGGAGGAAAAGAGACACAGGGAGAAAAAGAGCAAGAGAGACUUUCUCCUGGGAACCAGCUGGAAAUUAUGGACCUAUUCGAUAUCAGACCUCAGAGUGGACAACCUAUCCAAAGAGGGACGCGCCCUAACUGUAACUAACAACUACUCCUGGCAGCCCUUCAACAGCCAAACAUAUUGUCCUGGAUCAGGGCAGCUUUUGUGUGGCAGCGUUGAACUAAGGCAGUUUAUAGGCAAGAAAUUGACAUCAAACUACAGUAUCAGUAAUGAUAUUUGAAAUGUUAAGAACAAUUCCUUAAAAGUAAAUGAAUGUGGGGUUUUUUAUGAGACAUAGAUGAAGCUGCAAACUUAUUUGCUCAUAAAACUUUGUUAAGGUGAUGAUACAGAUUAGGGAAAAAGAAAGACUAAACUAAGUUGUCCACAUUUUAAGCCAAUUGACACAAAAAGGGGAAAACCGGCAGUUGGCGCAGACUUUUUUUAAUUUUUAAAAAUGUUCUAUGCUAUUAGUGAUAUUGCAAAAAUGAAACACUGGUAUACAGAUUUAUUGUCAAAGUCUGAAGAUCUGAUUUGACAAAACUACAUUAUAGCAGAAUUAAGCACAAAAACGUACAUAAGAUGAGAUUCAUUAUAAUAUAAAAUCAUUUGAUGUUAAAAGAUUUUUUUCUUCAAAUAACUGAAGACCUUUUUUAAAUUGAGUUACUAUACUAACAAUGUUAUAAUGGUCAUCAGAAGAUAAUAUAUAAUCUCAGUGAUCUAAAUAACGAGCAUUAAGUGCCGUUACCUAUACUGCCCUGAUAAAACACUGUGCUACAGCACUACGUUAAGCUACCAGUAUAAAUUCUCAGAAGUCAAUAAGGCGCAAUUAUAAGAAAGCAAUUUCUCCUUUUUCUCCACCUGACCAGCCUGUGCCGGGCUUCCACAUACCUGAACUCUCCCUUUGCAGUUUUCCCCCUGAGGGCUGCUAAUACCUACUUUAAACAGCCUUGGCCAAUUCGUUUUAUUCUUCCUCAACUAUGAGCCAGGAGUGCACAGGGCCUGGCAUUUUAGGGGCCACGUCACAGCGCCUGUGUCUGCGCUGCAGGGCUGCAAGGAGUCCAACAGCCGAGCCAUACGCGCUCAGCGGUUCACUGCCUCAACAAACACUGUUUUGUUAUCUCACGCACUCUCUCUAGCAUCCUUGCUCUACUGAGAACAGCAAAACAUGCACCUAAUGUGCUUUAUCCAUUUCAUAAACAUGCUCGUGUCCAGGUGCCGUCUCCGACACAGUCACUGAGCCUCCAGCCAGUGGAUCACUUCACAGCACUUUCUCUCCUCUGAUCACAGCAAAGUCAGCUCAGUUUCAACAGAUACAUCCAAUUCCAAAUUCAACACUGCCAUUCAAUGAGCUUGAUAACUGCUUCAAACUUCCUGCGCAGUAAAUAAACAAAAUCCGCGGCAUCCUCUAAAAGGGGACACAGUGCUGAUAUUGAUGUAACAGUGACAAAGAUAAAAGCACUGAUUAGGUGCAGUGAAUUACACUCGGGCUGACAGACUGUAAUUGAUGUGCAUGAUGUUAUUAGCAGAACGAUAUUUAUCUACAACAGCGCUUCGUAGCACAGCUGCAUAAACACAGGUUUUAUUACUCUGCAGGCUAUUUCUGCAAAUUUAGUGGCUCUUUCAAUUCAAGUCAAAUAUUAUUUCUAAAAAGAGCAAAACACGUGGCACCGUAGUGGUUUUCUUUUAAAUUUGAAGUGACACUGUCUAAAACUGUACAUUGAACAUACAACCACACAUUUUUUUUUUACUAUUGCAUUUAUAACUCCUGCCAUAUCAUUUGCCUUGUGUGGUUGUUCAUAUUUUCAUGCAUGUAUGCAUGUAUCUGAGGACAUAAUGUUAAGACACAUUACUGCAAAUAUUUAUGGUAUAAUGCAUAGAGGUUGUUACCCUCUCUUUGAGAAGAUAAAUGGGGAGUGUUUUUCAGAUGACAAAUUAGUUGAUACUUGUUCUGUUACUCUGUAUUAUGUUUUAGCCAAUCAGAGGAGCAAGUAUUUGCACUGAGGAGCUCGGUCAUAUGAGGACAUGCAUGAUGUACAUUACGUUAUUUGUACGUUAUCUUUCAAAAUAUAAAUUUUUAAAGGCGAUUUUCAUGAUUUGGUGUGUGUUGACUAGUGAUAAGUUGGUCUGUGUGCUUCAUGCAGAGGUUUUUUCUCCGCAGUACAGCUGUUUGCUCCCACAGGGUAUACUACAUAUAAUUUGCUGCUGGGUACAAAAAUAAAUAAAUAUGCAGUUUAAAUUAUCUA